rnacentral:lncRNA from 1 species
UGGAAGUCCAUGGGGUUGCUGAUGACCUCACAGUAAUCUUCGGCUUCUUCUGUGGUCACUGGCUCCCUGAAGGGCCAGCUGAAGCGGUAUUUGAUCAGCUUGCUGAGGAUUUCCUCACACUUCUGCAGCUCGAGGCUCUGGCGACGUGCUGUCUUCCUUGUUUGAAGGACCAGCUCAUCAAUGUCUGCGCUGUUGACAGGUGCAGCCCGCUGCCGGGGUCCCCUGGCAGGGUGCAGCGACUGCUUCUUCCUUUGGUGCCUUCCCUGCCUCGAGGAGUACAUGGCUGUGCUCUGCUUGCCGCGGGCUGCCUUUCUGGGUCUCAGUUUCAAUCCAGCGACUUCAUAAUCUUCUUCUUCCUCUUCUUCUUCCUCAGCAUCUUGUUCAUCAGAAGCUUCCUCACCUUCU